AUUGUACCGCGAAACUGCGAAUGGCUCAUUAAAUCAGUUAUCGUCUAUUUGAUAGUACCUUACUACUUGGAUAACCGUGGUAAUUCUAGAGCUAAUACAUGCUGAAAACCCCGACUUCGGAAGGGAUGUAUUUAUUAGAUUAAAAACCAAUGCCCUCCGGGGCUCCCUGGUGAUUCAUGAUAACUUCUCGAAUCGCACGGCCUUGCGCCGGCGAUGGUUCAUUCAAAUUUCUGCCCUAUCAACUUUCGACGGCUGGGUCUUGGCCAGCCAUGGUGACAACGGGUAACGGAGGGUUAGGGCUCGACCCCGGAGAAGGAGCCUGAGAAACGGCUACUACAUCUAAGGAAGGCAGCAGGCGCGCAAAUUACCCAAUCCCGACGCGGGGAGGUAGUGACAAUAAAUACUGAUACAGGGCUCUUUAGGGUCGUGUAAUUGGAAUGAGUACAGUUUAAUUCCCUUAACGAGGAACAAUUGGAGGGCAAGUCUGGUGCCAGCAGCCGCGGUAAUUCCAGCUCCAAUAGCGUAUAUUAAAGUUGUUGCAGUUAAAAAGCUCGUAGUUGAACCUUGGGCCUGGCUGGCCGGUCCGCCUCACCGCGUGCACUGGUCCGGCCGGGCCUUUCCCUCUGGGGAGCCGCAUGCCCUUCACUGGGCGUGCCGGGGAACCAGGACGUUUACUUUGAAAAAAUUAGAGUGUUCAAAGCAGGCUUAUGCUCGGAUACAUUAGCAUGGAAUAAUGGAAUAGGACGUGCGGUUCUAUUUUGUUGGUUUCUAGGACCGCCGUAAUGAUUAAUAGGGACAGUCGGGGGCAUCAGUAUUCAAUUGUCAGAGGUGAAAUUCUUGGAUUUAUUGAAGACUAACUACUGCGAAAGCAUUUGCCAAGGAUGUUUUCAUUAAUCAGGAACGAAAGUUAGGGGAUCGAAGACGAUCAGAUACCGUCGUAGUCUUAACCAUAAACUAUGCCGACUAGGGAUCGGACGCUGUUGUCUUUUGACGCGUUCGGCACCUUACACGAAAGUACAAGUUUC
rnacentral:rRNA from 1 species